rnacentral:rRNA from 1 species
AUUGAACGCUGGCGGCGUGCUAACACAUGCAAGUCGAUCGGUAACGCGGGGGCAACCCUGGCGACGAGAGGCGGACGGGUGAGGAACGCUUGGGAAUCUGCCCUUCAGCGGGGGACAACACGGGGAAACUCGUGCUAAUACCGCAUACGCUCCACGGAGGAAAGCCGGGGACCGCAAGGCCUGGCACUGAAGGAGGAACCCAAGUCGGAUUAGCUAGUUGGCGGGGUAACGGGCAACCAAGGCGACGAUCCGUAGCUGGUCUGAGAGGACGAUCAGCCACACUGGGACUGAGACACGGCCCAGACUCCUACGGGAGGCAGCAGUGGGGAAUAUUGGACAAUGGGGGAAACCCUGAUCCAGCGACGCCGCGUGGGUGAAGAAGGCCUGCGGGUUGUAAAGCCCUUUCGGUAGGGACGAAAGCUCUCGACCUAACACGUCGGGAGGUUGACUUAACCUACAAAAGAAGCACCGGCUAACUCUGUGCCAGCCGCCGCAGUAACAC